UUCUGUCCUUGGUGGUCGAUGAAAAGUUUCAGCGUGAGCUUGACGGGGUAACACACAAUGAGUGAGUUUAUCAGUAACUCUCUGAGCAGACCUUCUGGAACUUGCAUGCAGCAUCUCUA